CAAAAUUAGUACGGAUUUUUGGGAAGACAAUUUUUUCCUUCGCAAAUACGAAAAGAAUUCCAGAAGGAAUUAAACUUGGAUGCUGUCUGCGAUUCUCUCUUUUUGGGUGACGGCGACUCAUCCCCCAAUUCAAACCAGCUCGUUUGUGAUUCUCUCCUCUCUAGCAACCGGCGACGGCUGGUGCUCAACCACAGUCUGGAUUCUGGUGAUACCAUUGACAUAGUGAAGGUUUUUGUCAUGGCUGCUACCGUUCCGGUGGCCGCGCUCAUUUUACAGACGAUACCUAGAGUACAAAUACUCGGUGAGGUUGUCCGCAUUGAGCCAAUCGACUGG